GUUCCCACACGUGGCAGGCCAGGUCCUACGUGUAGAGAUGCAUGCAGAGAUUUGCGAGCCGCGCGUGGGCUUGCGAAACUCACACCUUGCAGCGUUCAUCUUCUGCCGGGUUACGUUACGACGCAGACGUAGAGAGAGUGAGAUAUCAACAAAACCAAAGCAUAAGGAAGGAAAUUUCUGUUCAUUCCGCUUGUGGAAGAAGAUCGUAAGGAGAAGAAACCCUAGAAAAGUUUUUAGAUUUAAAAGAGGAGGUCUUUUUUUCAUUUCACUGUCAAUUUUGCCAGUUCGAAUCCUGCCCUAGAUGGGGUCCUCGGCCGGACAGAGAUCUCAGAAUCCCGAGAGGAAUCUUCGAGAGGAAUGCGGCCGAGUCGUAGAGCUCGCUAAGGAGUUGCAGGAUUCAGCUUCUUCUUUGAUUUCCCAAACGUGGAACGAGGAGCAAUCCCUCCGUCAGCGCGCGCUCGCUCUCGAUUCCAGCAUCCAGAGGCUCCAAUCCUCCAUCGUAUCCGCCAUUAAAAGGGGGUCCAUCGAUCAAAGGGACGCGGAAAAGUUGGAUGACGAACUAUACAAGGCAAGAUGUAUCAUCAGUGACGGCGAUGUGUCUUUGCUUCUUCCGAGCAAAUCGCAUGGUAGCUUCUUGAAAAUGUUCCUUGGUCCCAUCAAUGUACGCGCCACUAGGAAAGAUGUUCGGUUGAAAGUGAAAGAAGAGUAUAAUAGUUGCAAGGAUAGAACAGCCUUUCUCUUUCUGCUUUUGCCAUCAACACUACUACUGCUUAGAUCUUGGAUCUGGAAUGGAUGCUUUCCAGUCUUACCAGUUCAACUGUACCAGGCCUGGCUCUUAUUUCUCUACACGAGUUUGGCUUUGAGGGAGAACAUAUUGAGAGUAAAUGGAAGUGAUAUUCGUUCAUGGUGGAUAUACCAUCACUAUUGUGCUAUGCUGAUGGCACUUGUCAGUCUCACAUGGGAGAUUAAAGGGCAACCUGAUUGUGCCCACAAGCAGAGAGGGGUGCAGCUAUUUUUGGGAUGGGCUAUGAUGCAAGGUGUUGCAAUGCUUCUACAGAACAGAUACCAGCGCCAAAGACUGUAUACUCGUAUUGCAUUGGGAAAGGCAAGGCGGAUGGAUGUUGUGUGGGGAGAAACUUCUGGUGUAGAGGGUCAAUUGUGGCUUUUAUGCCCCAUCCUUUUCAUCUUGCAGGGUUUUGAAGCAUACAUUGGACUGUUGCUGCUGAAGAUAGCAUUUGUUGAUGUCGUCGUCUCCGAGUGGCAGGUGAUAGUAUGCGGGAUCCUACUGCUAGUAAUGGCAGUGGGCAACUUUGUAAACACUGUGCAGACACUCAUUACUAAGUCGAGGUUCAAAGCCAAGAUGAAGAGAAGCAAGAGCAGGUAUGAAUUCGAUCAGGGCCCACCAAAUAGCAAUUUGAGCUUGGGAAAUCCAUCGUAAGUGCUAUGAAAAAGGGCAGGUUUUCAUCAGAGGUUUGGCUCCCUUGGAACCUGUGUGGGCCAUUUAGCAGUCUGAGUUGAGGAAAUGCUUUGAGCCAUCAAUCAUGCUUUCAAAUCUGUUGUCAUAUGUAUGGAGAAGGGAGGAUAGGAAAUAGUUUCCACAGCCAUAGUACACCAUUUAUUCCGACAGAUUUCAAGAAAUCUUCCUUGAGGGAUGCAAGAAUGAUAAGUAGCAAUCUUCCUCCAGGAAGAGGCAAUUAAAGGGCCAUGUCUUGGCAUGGCACACUUGCACAAGACCUGUCUUUUCAUCAGGCAGUAACAUACCAUCAGCAAGAAAUCAGAUCUGCAACUGGGCGUCAAGAAGCUGCAGAAUUAUGCCCGGGAAACCAGUUUCUCUCAUUAAAAUGGAAAAGAGAAAAAAACAAAAGGUGCCUCUUUGUACAGAGGCAUUGUACAAUGCUCUGGGGAAAGGUUGCCUGGUACCUUCAGGUGUUUAGCUUAUACAAGUGGCAAUAGCGGGGCAAUGAUGUGGUGGCCCAGUAAGCUGAGGUCGCAUGGUAUGGUGGUGGUUUGUUCAAGUUGCGGGGAGUGGAGCCUUGAUUCAGUGGUCUAAAGAGCUGAUAUCAUGGGUAUGAGAUGGUAUUUAGAUGCAAGAAAAAGUGUUGUUAGGACGUGCCAUAGUGGAUCGUUGUUUGUAUUACCAUUUAUGCAUGACAAAGCAGCUCAUUGUUUGAUUAAACCAUUUAUACAUGGGAAUUAAUGAAAAUUGGGAUGGUCCACUACAAGAUGCAAUAAAACUAGGAUGGCAUCUCUUUAUAAGAAAGUGGAAUAAAGUCUAGGAGAGCUUCUCUCUAGUUCAAUUUA